GGGCUGUGAUUUGUGUGCCAGCGGCGCGGGGCGAGAGCCGCCCUGCCCAGCAGUGCCACGCAAAACCAGAGCCCUCCUCGCUGCCAGGCUCCGAGCCGGGACCCGCGGCUCGGGCCAUCCACGUCUCCAGGGUUUCGGAGACAACUCCCUGCAGAGAACCUGUUCUACCAGCCGCAAUCCACCAGUCAACAACUCCUGCAGCCCGGCGGAGGAGAUUGGCCUCCUCAUCAGAUGCCAUCCCUGUGACACUCCAGAUCUAAUGAUGGCAAACGAAGGACAUCCCCAAAAGUGACAUCAGUGCAGAUUUCUCAGGACCUGUGUGAGUUGCCUCUGGGGAUUCCUGGAGACAUCCCAGGAUCUCAGACCUCGGCGCUGCUCCUGCCUGGGCCCUGAGCUUGGAGGGGAGAGCUGCUCCAAAGCCUUCUGCCUCCAGAGUGGGCAGGCUGGGCCAUGGCAGACCCUGGGGUCUCACCACGCACCCCUGGGAGCUGAGACACCAGUGUUGGCCGUGACAGAGACACUUCCCAGGGCUGGGCCUGCCUGGAACCUGCCCUGAGGUGCCUCAGAUGAGGAUAAAGGAGUCCUGGCACCCUGCUAGGCUACAGCAGCUUGGCCAAAUUAAGCUUGAAAAGAUAAAAAAUGGGCGGGAAAGGCUCUGUGUGCCAUGCAACUGCUCCAGUCCUGCAGGAGGAUGCUGAGGGGGUGAAGGGUCAGGUGGAAGAACAAGGACUGAGCACCCCAAAGAGUGAGCCAAAGGAGCAGAUUUUCCAGUGUCAGCCUCCUCUGCUCCAUUCCUAAUUUGGGGAAGAGUUUGCAUAUGAGUUUUGAAUCCUCCAUGAAGAAGGUGCAGGGUGCUGUGGCAGCCUUG